GGAGUUAGCCGGUGCUUCUUCUGUGAGUGAUGUCCUUCCUGCCGGCUAUUAACCCGCAGGCCUUCUUCCUCACUGAAAGUGCUUUACAACCCGAAGGCCUUCUUCACACACGCGGCAUGGCUGGAUCAGGGUUGCCCCCAUUGUCCAAUAUUCCCCACUGCUGCCUCCCGUAGGAGUCUGGGCCGUGUCUCAGUCCCAGUGUGGCUGAUCAUCCUCUCAGACCAGCUACGGAUCGUCGCCUUGGUGAGCCGUUACCUCACCAACCAGCUAAUCCGACAUAGGCUCAUCCGAUAGCGCGAGGCCCGAAGGUCCCCCGCUUUCCCCCGUAGGGCGUAUGCGGUAUUAGCCUGGGUUUCCCCAGGUUAUCCCCCACUACCGGGCAGAUUCCUAUGCAUUACUCACCCGUCCGCCGCUCGCCACCAGGGAGCAAGCUCCCCGUGCUGCCGCUCGACUUGCAUGUGUUAGGCCUGCCGCCAGCGUUCAAUCUGAGCCAUAAUCAAACUCUGA
rnacentral:rRNA from 1 species